rfam:Stegodyphus mimosarum contig137317, whole genome shotgun sequence.
UUUCUAGUUGAGUGUCAAUCUUUCAUUUUUUGUUGUUAUUCUAGAAUAACAACAAAAAAUGAAAGAUUGACACUCAACUAGAAA